UACAGAGGUCCCAAGCGUUGUUCGGAUUCACUGGGCGUAAAGGGUGCGUAGGUGGUCAGGUAAGUCGGAUGUGAAAUCUCCGAGCUCAACUCGGAAACUGCAUUGGAAACUACCUGGCUUGAGGGUUGGAGGGGGGACUGGAAUGCUUGGUGUAGCAGUGAAAUGCGUAGAUAUCAAGCGGAACACCAGUGGCGAAGGCGAGUCCCUGGACAACUCCUGACACUGAUGCACGAAAGCUAGGGGAGCAAACAGG
rnacentral:rRNA from 1 species